rnacentral:rRNA from 1 species
UACGUAGGUGGCAAGCGUUGUCCGGAUUUACUGGGCGUAAAGCGUAUGCAGGCGGAUUGUUAAGUAGGAAGUGAAAGGUUGGAGCUCAACUCCAACACUGCUCCCUAUACUGGCAGUCUUGAGUGGCGGAGAGGAAGACGGAACGACACGUGUAGCGGUGAAAUGCGUUGAUAUGUGUCGGAACACCAAUGGCGAAAGCAGUCUUCUGGACGCAAACUGACGCUGAGAUACGAAAGCCAAGGUAGCAAACAGG